AUGCAAAAGUGUCACAGGAAACGGCCACGGACGGGGAAGACGGCAGACCCCGGCUUCGGUCAGGGACCCGCACCCAGAAUACUCACACCUGCCCGAAGCACACGACGCGACCUGAGCCGAGGGCAGACGCCACAGCGCAGGGUACCCGAGCAGACCCGGGACGGUCGGCUCACUCAGACACAGGCGCAGGGAAGCAGGCUCGGGCACUCAGCCCCAGGGCGACGCCGAUGGAGACCCAGCGAGUGCUGGACCCCAGCACCCAGCACCGGAGGGCCUGGUUCGAGUCCUGGCUCCACCUCCAGCUCCCUGCCCAGUGCAGCCUGGGAGGCAGCAGUGGCGCCUCCGCUGCUGGGGGCCCCACCGGCCGGGCCCGGACACCUGUCUCCACAGGUGCAGCCGAGCCCAGGCCCAGCCUCGGGGGAGGCCUGCGCGCCUUCCCAAAGAGCCAGCAGGGCCGGAUCCGCCCGCGAGCUCACCAGGGAACAGCACCCCUGGGGCAGAGACAGCCGUGCAGCAGGCGCCCCCCGCCCCCCGCGACCCCAGGGACACGACUGCGUCAACAAACCACACAGAAUUCAUGCCAGAGCCGGCCCGGAGAGCCUUCGAAGUGUGGCCUCCACAGGAAGUGACCUGAGAAGCCCCCUGCUCCCCCACGGAUCGCGCAGAGAGCUCCACUCCUGGGGCCCGGGGUCCACCCCCUUGUCCACGCAGCUUUACCGGGGGCAGCCCAAGCCUGCCAGGCGAGCCGUUCCCACGGCCACACGACGGGAGCCGGCUGCCGGCUCUGGUGCCAAGUCGCCAGGGCCAGGAGAGCCCCGUCCAGGAGUGCGGGCACAGCAGGACACGAGGGCAGAGGCGGGCCGGGGCGGCUGGAUCCUAAGAGCUCCGCGGAGGAGACUGGACCACAACCGCAGGCCGCGCGGCACAUGCUCAACGGCCCGCCCCGGCCACAGUGGUCCCUCGUGGGCCCCACCAAGACCCGCACGCCGACCUCGAGGGGAGACGCCGGACGGCAGGGCAGGGCAGGCCGCCCACGCCAGCACCUCAGCACCCUCGCCUGACCGCACGGCACCGCUCCAGCGCAGAUGCCUCCUGGGCAGGCCUGACCCCUGGGAAACGUCCUUGGUUCCUUCCAGGCACACCGCGCGCUGGCUGACCACGCGGGCUGCGUGA
rnacentral:lncRNA from 1 species